GACGAACGCUGGCGGCGUGCCUAAUACAUGCAAGUUGAGCGCUGAAGGUUGGUACUUGUACCAACUGGAUGAGCAGCGAACGGGUGAGUAACGCGUGGGGAAUCUGCCUUUGAGCGGGGGACAACAUUUGGAAACGAAUGCUAAUACCGCAUAAAAACUUUAAACACAAGUUUUAAGUUUGAAAGAUGCAAUUGCAUCACUCAAAGAUGAUCCCGCGUUGUAUUAGCUAGUUGGUGAGGUAAAGGCUCACCAAGGCGAUGAUACAUAGCCGACCUGAGAGGGUGAUCGGCCACAUUGGGACUGGGACACGGCCCAAACUCCUACGGGAGGCAGCAGUAGGGAAUCUUCGGAAAUGGACGAAAGUCUGACCGAGCAACGCCGCGGGAGUGAAGAAGGUUUUCGGAUCGUAAAACUCUGUUGGUAGAGAAGAACGUUGGUGAGAGUGGAAAGCUCAUCAAGUGACGGUAACUACCCAGAAAGGGACGGCUAACUACGUG
rnacentral:rRNA from 1 species